UACCGACACAUGUCUAGUUCCAUAUCAUUUCGCAUUCUUAGGUUCCGCCUGCCGUGUUUCCACCGGACGUCUGUGUAAGUCGGACCCGUUCAAGAUGUCCGUGGAGCAGGCGAGCGCGAGAGGGACGGCCGGUGACACUGAGGAGGACAAAUCUCACCUGAUUAAAGGGUGUAAUAGGAACUGCUGCGGUGCCAGAAAGCGGUGCAUCGUUAGCGUUGCGGGCGUUGGGAUGGGGCUCCCUUUACGCCUGGUGUGGGGUUGGUCUCCUGAGCUUCACCGUUUGGAAGGCUCUAGGCGUCCACAGCCGGAAGGAAUUUCGUCAGAAAAUGCAGUCCAUUUUCCCCGCCAUUCCCAAAAAUGAAGAGGCUCAAGAGAAUUCUGCUCCAUUUGACUGGAAUUCCAUCUUCAAGUCAAAAUGAGAAACAAUUACAGUCUAUUAUCAAGAACGCACAGCCUUAACUGACUGCCUGGAAAGAUUAUUUAUCAGAUGGUCAGUCUGGUUAAGUGCGAGUCAACCAGUCGGUUCAAUCAGCCAAUUUUAGAUCCAGUAUCAAGUUUGAGGUCACAGCACUGGAAAAUGCCUCGAUGAAGGCCUGGACAAUUCAACAUGGUUGUUUGUCUCAAUUUCUUGUGCCACACUGGAUUUUUCACAGCCUGAGCCACGAGACUUUGACUCUGCACUUGCAGUCACAAGUGUGGAAGUUUUAUGUUUGAACGUACUGUACUAUCUCAGUUAUUUAAUUAGCUUUUUUUUUUGGUAACCAUACUUUUGGCACAUUUGUGUGGGCCUAGCAAAUAAUAUUACUGCCCUUUGACUGGUGGUGUUUAUACAUUAAAUAUCAAACUAAAGCAGCCACUGUGUUAAAGUGGCAUCAUGUGAUGACAAGGUCUAAUAAAAGCUUCAAGGGACAGAGGAUGAAAACAUGUGCCCUGCAGUGACUGAAGAACAGCUACAGAAUGACAGCCUUGCGUCAGUGUGAGCGUUUUCUGUGCAUUUAGGGUCGUGUAAUCUGGUUAAACUGUGGAUGUGACCGAAGCAGCACAGAGCACUGGAUAGACAGGAAAAAAACGUUAACCAGAACCCAUUAACCUUAACUGCCAGGAAACUCCGUCUUUUGCUUUUUAAAUAUUACAAUAUUGAGGAUAUACAUGGUAAAUUAAAUUUUUUUGGGCACUCUGACACGAAAAAAAAUAACACAACACUGAAAAACGACGUUCACAGUUCUCGACCAAAUUUCAUGUACAUUUACUUUUAACAUGUGGAACAUGUAUAAAGACUUUAUACUGAAUAAACAAUGGUCAUCAAAUCAUAUGGAGCAAAAAGAGCUUACAUAAAGAGUUGUACAUAUUUUUUGUUAAAAUCAUUAAGUCGUUUUGGGGUAACGUUCACAUUGAAUUACAUUUAUUCCAUCAGACGUCUUUCAGUUAGCUUGUAAUUUCCAAAAUCUAAGGCCAUUAGAGGGAGCCACAGCUAUCUCUGGCACACAGAACUCUAUUAUAGGACACACAGGAAAGUCUUUGGGGGCGUUCGUUCACAGAGGACAAAUUCUUGCAUCCUUCGGAACUGAACAGGUGUGUUUAUGCGUUCCCACAUACAGU